CUCGGUGCCUGCCUGUAAAAAGGCCGGCUUAAAAGGGAAUCCGGUGUAAAUCCGGAACAGCCCCCGCUACUGUAACGAGGGACGGCGCGUCUACCCGCCUUUUGGCGGAGUCACUGGGAAACUGGGAAGACGGACGGCGCCGGAUGAUCUCGAAGCCAGGAGACCUGCCGGGAACGC
rnacentral:ncRNA from 1 species